GGCGAGAUGAUUUCACUCAUAUUCCCCCUAUUAAAAGAAGAAAAUAUCUUCUACCCCUGGUAGAUACCUUCUCAGGCUGGUUAGAGGCAUUCCCUACCACAUAUGAGAAGUCAUCUGAGGUUACACAACCCCUCAUACAAACAUGUCAUUCCUUGAUUUGGACUGCCCACCUCAUUACAGUCAGACAAUGGACCUGCCUUUAUAUGCCAAACAACCCAAGAAAUCUAUUCUGAAUAUCCAGUGGAACUUACAUACCCUUUACUGAACCCAAUCUUCAGACAAAGUAAAAAAGGCCAACUCCCUAAUUAAAUCCCAUUUAACUAAAUUAAGUCUUGAGACUAAGGAACCUUGGACCUCCCUCUUACCCCUCACCCUCAUAUGCAUCCGAACAACUCCCUGGGCCCCAUCCUUUCUCAGCCCCUUCGAAUUUGUGUGGAAAGCCCUUCCGACUAGGAAAUUUACCUUCCAAGGAAAACCCUUUAGGAGAUUAUAUACCUCCUAGAGGCCCGAUGCACGAAAUUCGUGCAGGGAGCUCGGCCCUCGCGGCCCUGGCUUUGUCCAGAAGGUCACUUGGCUGUCCGGUCUAAUUGGCAUAUUACACUUUUAUUAUUAUAGAUAACCUCGUCAGGCAACUAAUGAGUGCAUACAGACCAGAUUUUUCCACAGCCCUUUACGGGAGAGAUCCCUCCCACUCCCCUACAGCCAGGGGACUGGGUCCUACUGAAGGAAAUGCAUCCAUCAAACUACAGCCCCAAUGGCAAGGCCUAUAUUAGGCCUCUAUCACUCCUCUGGCCACUAAACUGCGUGGCCACCCCACGGGGUUCCACUUUUCUAGGUUAAAACUGGUCCCCAGAACACCAUCACCACAGAACCCCCUGUCAUUGAAAUCCCCCAAGAUACUUCAACCACCAAGUCGGACCCACGAAACUUCGACUCACCUGCAUUCCAGAGGAAGAAGACAAAUGAGACCAUUUCCAAGCUUUCACCAACCAUCCAUACAGAACCAGAACCUCACCCAGACGGGAGGGGACCAGUACCUCACAGGGGCUGACUACCAAGAUCUGUCUCAUUACGUCUUUGGCGCCCCAUCCAGCCUGAAGCAGAUACAGAAGAAACAACCUCUGCCCCCAUUCCAUAAACAAGAUCUGGGCAAGCAGUGAACCAGACCUCCCCUAGAGCUUGUCCUUCCCUGCAUGAGAACCUGGCUUUAGACAUCCUCCUUGACUAAAUGCAGUCACUUUCCAUCCUGCCCGCCCAGAAGAAACCCACCCAGGGUCCUGUAAAGGCCCUGACCGCUCAUGGGUGAUGCCAUUUUGGGACUCAGCCCAUCUGUUUGCAGAUGCCUUAAUAAACUUAACAUUCUUUACUUCA